CCUACGGGUGGCAGCAGUGAGGAAUAUUGGUCAAUGGACGAGAGUCUGAACCAGCCAAGUAGCGUGAAGGAUGACUGCCCUAUGGGUUGUAAACUUCUUUUAUAUGGGAAUAAAAUGUUCCACGUGUGGGAUUUUGUAUGUACCAUAUGAAUAAGGAUCGGCUAACUCCGUGCCAGCAGCCGCGGUAAUACGGAGGAUCCGAGCGUUAUCCGGAUUUAUUGGGUUUAAAGGGAGCGUAGGUGGAUUGUUAAGUCAGUUGUGAAAGUUUGCGGCUCAACCGUAAAAUUGCAGUUGAAACUGGCAGUCUUGAGUACAGUAGAGGUGGGCGGAAUUCGUGGUGUAGAGGUGAAAUGCUUAGAUAUCACGAAGAACUCCGAUUGCGAAGGCAGUUCACUGGACUGCAACUGACACUGAGGCUCGAAAGUGUGGGUAUCAAACAGGAUUAGAUAACCGGGUAGUC
rnacentral:rRNA from 1 species